AGCAAGUCCACCUUUAAGUGACUCAGAAAGAACUAAAUGAAGGUUCUGGAGUCAAAGUCUGGACUUGAAUCUAACUGAGAUUCUGUGACAAGAACUUAAAAGGACAGUUCAUGAUCUAAAACAAUCUAAUGUGACUGAAUUCAAACUAUUCUACAGAGAAGAGUGGAGCAGAAUUCCUCCAUGGUGAUGGAAAAGACUGAUCACAAGCUGGAACAAACAUUUAACUGCAGUUGCUGCUGCCAAAGCAGUUAUUAGGUUCUGAGGGGGUAAUUACUUUUUCACAGAUGUGAUCUUCAAUAAACCCAUAAUUUAAAAGUAGCAUGCAGUGCUUUGUGGGUUUUCUCUGUAUAAUAUUAAAUAAAUUUAAAUGUUUGAUGAUCCAGAACAUUUAUGAAAUCUGAAAUAACAGAAGACACCAGGCGGCAAAUACUUUUCCUAGUGCUAAAAAUCCACUCAAACACUGCAUAUUAUAAGUCUUGAAGCUUCCUGUGUCAGUUUGUUUAUGAGUGCAAAUGCAGUUCCAGGCUUCUACACUGGAGGUCAGCAGUAAAGAGAUGUUUGAGUCUCUAAGACAUAAGUCGUGAAUUACCUCAGAAUGAAGGACAAAAGGCUUUGGUUAUGCAUCGUAUUGAGGAGCAGAAAUCAGGGUUCUGCUGGAUUUUCUGCUUUGGUUAAACAUCAAGUUAAAAAGCAAAGCGACAUUUAAGCUUUUAAUGUUUAGUUUUCCCCUGGUAGUCUCCUUCCAUUUGCUUUAAAUGAUGCUGCCAGAGAGAGUACUACCUGAUAAUCGUCUACAUACAGUUUGACAGGGGAACCAGCCUUCUUUGCGGCGGUAUAAACCAGUCUUCUGCUGCCGUGUGAUGCCUGUUUAGACUUCAGAUCACGUCCCAUCAUGACUGGAUGAAGCCUGAGGCUAAACUGAGCCGUGUCCUCCUUGACCACUUGCUUCCUGAUUCUCCACACACUCCAUCACCCUCCUAUACAUUUAAUCGACGGUCUCUGAGCCCCCGCCACGGCAGGAAUUUUAGAUAGACUUGAUUAGAUGCUAGCAGGUGUGACGCCUCCUUCAUAGAAUGCGUGUACAGCAUGUUUCUUUCCCUGUCAUUGUAAUUAUCUUCAUUCUGUUUCAGUGAACGGGGCUGUUUCUAAGCUACUCGAACACCACGGGACUGGAGAUGGUACAGUUUGUCAAUUGGCCAAUUUAUGUCCUUGAAAAACAUCUCAGCAGCUAUUUUUGGGAUUGAAUCUGACUGAAUCUCCUGCACUUUUAUUACAACCAAUAAAAGUUCAGUCAGAUUCACUGAGGCUGACACUUCAGGUUAUAUUUUUAGGACAUAUUUUUCUACUUAUUUUUUUAAAUAUAUAAUUUUUGGCCCUAUUUUUCUACUAAUUUAUUAUAUUUUGAGGACAUUUUGUCCUACUAAUUCUUGUAUUUUUAAGAUGUAUUUUUCUACUUAUGUUUACAUGUGUCCUAAAAUAUAAACAUUUAAUAUUUUAGGGCACAUGUUUCUGUGUUGGUUUGCAUGUUUAUUAAGAUUUAUUUUUCUACUUAUUUUUAGAUUUUUAGGUCAUAUUUCUACUGUUUUUAUAUUUCUAGAAUAUGUUUCUUUUACUUUUUAAAUGUAAUUUUAAGAAAUAUUUUUCUGCUUUUCUUUAUAUUUUUGGUUCUAUUUUUCUACUUAUUGUUUAUAGUUUAAGGACAUAUUUUUCUACUUAUGUUCACAUUUUUAGAUCAGAUUUUCCUACUUAUGUUUAUAUUUUCAGGAGAAUUUUUUCCACUUAUGUUUGCAUUUUUAGGACAUAUUUUUCUCCUUUUUAAAUAGAUUUUUAGGACAUAUUUUCCCCUUAUGUUUACAUUUUUAGGACAUAUUUUUCUCCUUUUAAAUAGAUUUUUCGGACAUAUUUUUCUCCUUAUGUUUACAUCUUUAGGACAGAUUUUUCUUCUUUUAUCUCCUUCUGUUUCUAGGCCAGAAGCCCGGCGAUGACUCCGUCCACAGCUCCCACAUGGUUCUGGUCAGCACUCAGUCCCUCGUCAGCCUCCUGCUGCUGGUUCUGACCGCUAUCCUGUCCGGUGGCGUCUACCUGUGGAUCCUCAGAUACGUCUGCAUCGGCUGCUGCCAGCCCGUCCCGGUCGGCAUGGAGACCGAGGCUCUGGCCGCGGUGGUGUGAAGCAGCUAGAGUCCGUCUGACUGAGUCAAAACCAGACAGGAUGAACUGAUUGAACUUCGUUUACAGGUGAAUAUAGAAAUCUAUGAUCUGGCUUUGUCCACUCCAGAGCUCAAACGUUCAUGACAGAAACGACAUUCCUGUUAGGCUGAAACGAGCGAUGUCAUGUUCACUUGAAUAGAAGAUGAAUUUAUGUGUUUCAGUUAGUAACUGGUGCUCACGAAUUGGUAGCUCUCGUCCCCCAUAGCUGCACAGAUCCCACGUUAUUUCACCUGAAGGAAAAUGUCCAUAAGUUGUUGACGAGCUGAAGACGGACACAACUAUAGAGGUUGUUUCAACAGAAAGUCUCUGUUUGGUCGUCAUGAAAACUGGUAAUAACCAUCUUCUGUGUCAACCAAUGAGUUUUUCAUACAUAAGCUUCAAGUAAACACGUCAGUAAACCCAUUAUCACAUGUACAACACCAGUCAGAAGUUCGGACACACCUUCUCAUUCAAUGAUUAUUAUUGAUUUUAGUUGUUUAAUACAUUGCAGAAUAAUACUGAAGACAAAUAAGGUAAUAUUCAUCAAAGACAUCAUGAGCAGCUGAAGUUUUCUGCUGGUGGAGACCAAAACGGAGCGAAAAGGACAAUAAACACUGAAGUAGCUUGACUCUAAUUAGUAUUAACAUUGAAGUCAGUCUGGUGGAUGAGUAAUAAGGCCGCUUUCUGCUAAGAUGUGGUCAGAAGUUUGGACACAAACUACAAUGCAGAUUAAUACUGAAGAUGUCAAAACCAUGAAAGAACGCAUGUGGGAUUAUGUAGUAAUUGUGUAGUUGUCAAUAUUAAUGUACACUGUGGAAAACAAUUAAAAUCAAUAAAAAGCCAUUGAAUGAGAAGGUUUGUCCAAACUUCUGACUAUGUGUUAUUCCUCACCCAGCAGACUGACUUCAGUGUUCAUUAGAGUCAAGCUACUUCAGUAUUCAUGCUCCUUUUAGCUCCAUUUUGGUCGCCACCAACAGAAAACUUAAGUUGCUGGUGAUAUAUUUGAUGAAUUUUACAUUAUUUAGACGGGUUGACAUUAUAGUGUUGGUAGUUGCAUUGACAAUGUGUUAUAAAUUUGCUAGAUAGCUCAAUAUUUCUUCACUUUGAGGUCGUCUAGAGCAGCAAAAUAUUUUUUAAUCUACCAACUUAAAAGGGCACAUAACUCUUCUUUAAAAAAAAAAAAGUGGAAAAAAAACCGUAUGUUUAUGCGACCAAUAAGUGAAGUCUGCUAACUCAGUUUAGCUUGUUAGCUGGUACAUAAUAUUAUUAGAAGUUGUCAUAGCUUAAAAAGAUUGAUGCAAAUUGUUUAUUUGUUUAUUUAUAUUCAGACAAAAUGUUUCUUUUUUGGAAAUGGGGAUCAUAAUUCUUUGAAGGUUUGUCAUCAUUUCCAUUGCCUGUUGUCAUUUGAUCUAUUGUUAAAGUAAGAAUGAAUAUUCGAGCAGCCUUUAAACUUCCUGUGUUCAUUAACUAGUAAUUAAAUGUUUUAUUUAAUGCUCUUAAACUAAGUGUUUCAGAUGGACAAAGACAAAUCAAUGAAUGUAGAAAUAUAAAUACUGAAAUAUGUAAAAACAAACAAUAUCUUUCUUGGUGUUAAAUGGCAAGUAAAAUAAUAUUAAUAAUUUAUUUUUCAAGCAUUUAGGCAAAUAAAAAUGUCAAAACACGACAAGUCCAGGUCUUUACCAGUGUCAGAAUUAAAUACCAGUACAUUUAUAUAACAGUGCAAUAGUUGCUGAACACACACAUGAAAGCACAAAUUACAAAUAUGCAAAUGAACCAAUUCAAGCAGUGGAAAUGCUAAAUAAUGUAAAUGAGCCCAACUAGGAUCAACGUGAGCAUAUAAAAGCAUAAAGAUACAGAAAUCCAUGCUUUGUCUUUUACUCUACAUGCACAAAGAACUGAAGAUCCACAGACAUGCCGUUGUCUAUAUGAAUAAAUGAAGAUACAAAUCAA